rnacentral:lncRNA from 1 species
CUAAAUGGCCUUUGAGGUUCCUUUCAACCCAAGGCAUUCUAUGAUUAAUCUUGUCAGAGAGUGUAGAAAGGAUAGUCCGUCUUAUAUUGAGGUAUACUUUUUAUGCUUCUUCCUCUUCAGUGAACUUCUCUAAUAUUUGCUGCCUUUUUAACCUCACAAUUUCUUUCACAUUGCUGUAAAUGACCGAUCUCCUCUGUCUCUUUGUAUAUCCUCCUUCAGCUCCAGUCAUCCUGGAACACACUCUAGAGGUGGCCACCCUGAGCGUCUCCUUGGUGUCCCACAGCUCAGAACUGUUGUUUGAGCUCUGCUAGUUCACUGCAGUGGCAAUGAGCCAGAAGAAUACAUUUAUGUCAUAUCCUUCAGGGAAACACAAACUGCUUAAAAGCUGCCUAAAAUGUACCAUGACAUCACUUGCGGACCUCCCAGAAUUGCCCAGAAGGAGGAAAAGUCAGCAUUCUCAGCCCGCCCCCGGAGUGAUUCCAGGAGAUUCAGACCCUAUAAGGCAGUGAAGCUCUGUGAGCAGCAAAGAUAGAGUUUUGAAAGAUUUCUUGUUCUUGGCAACGUGGGAAUUUCACAAACAGGAAAAACUGCUUUUACUUUUCCUAAAGAGGAACCAUUUAUGCCUAUGGUGCAUUGAUGCCUGGAACUGGGCUUGCUUUAAAGUAGAGCGGAAAUGUAAGAAAUGCUCUUAGCAGAGGACAAGCAGAGGUAAGCUCUCCCCUAAUCGUGCCAGCUAUUUGUUCCAGACAUCUACUUUUUAUAGUACUCGCUUCUACGUCCAUUCUACGAACAGGGUAAUUAAGUCAAAAAGCUGUAGAUAAUAUAGAGCGGUCCAACAUGAAAUUAAAUUGAUAAUUCUGAAAGGUACAGCUAGUCCCAAAAGUAGCAGAGACUGCCAGUGAAAUGUUCUUCCUCCUUUCCUGUGUACUACAUCAGAAGACAUUUGUCUGGAAAAUGAAGAGCCGAGCUAUUCUGAGCCCGGAUACAUGAACUAUCCUGGAAUUUGACUCAAUCGGUCAGAUUUGUGUCUCAGUUACAGUUAAUCCUGAUUCACUGUUUUGUCUGUACCACUCUAAGCAAGAAUAGAUUCAGGUUCACAGAAAUGGGUUCUCAUAGCUUUUCUGUGAGGGAUAGGAGUUGGCCAAAUACACACCACACCCUUUAGCUACAGUUCGUGACCAGCCGUUUGGGCAGACCACAGUUGGAUAUCUGUGGUUUUUUCUUCAUAAUCAGAGUAAUAAGCUUCAGAAGUGUGGUACUGUAACUGUAAUCAUUGGGAUUCAUACCAUCCUGUCUUCCAAAUUCUUUGCAACCAUGAAUACAGGGAAAUAUUUUGUUCCCAAAACAGGGGAAAUUAAUAUUUUCACUUGAUAUGUAAACAAACUGAGGCAGUGAUAUUGAAUGAAAUACUACCUUUUAAAACAGAACUUGUUCUCUUCAUGCCGUUUUAUACUAAUCCCAUACAUCUAAAUGCUGCCAGCAAAUUAGAUUUGUUUUACCAUGAAGUAGGUUUUAAAAGUCUGAAGAAAGUUAGUCAAGAGGAAAAUGAUAAAAGUAAGUCUAGUGAAUAAAACAUGCUUGGGAUUUGACAUUAAAAUAAACAGAAUGGUCUUCCAGUUUACUGGACAGAUGUUACAGCCACGUAUAAAUUUUGCUGUUAUUGCUCUACCUUGGAUUUACUGGAAUACAAAAGGGAGUUGUCCCAUUUCUGCUACUUUUGGGUAGGAGAACCAAGCCAUUCAGUUCUUUGCCAUGCUGAGUUCCUUUCAAAGCUAUUUAUAUAAGAUGAUUAUCACUCAUUAAGUAGUUUACUCUUCACUGCCAGUGCCGCCCAUUUGCAGCGCUGGGAAUUGAAGUUUAUGCACAGCAAUGACAGAACUCUGCAUCCACUGAAAUCAAGAUCUAGGAACCUUGAAAUAAGGAAGCAGGAAAGCAAGUUACUCAGAUUCUGUCGGGAUAGCUGUGCAGUUUUAAGGCCCUGAAUUUAUUUCUGUUAUUCUGUAUCUCAUCUGAGAGUGGAGGUUAUCGUGCGUUGUUCGCAGUGGAGGUAAGGAGAGGAGCUUCUUCUGAACACUGAAUAUACCAGAUCUAGUGUGCAAUUAUUCUGGCUUUGGGAUUUUUGCUGAGAUGUGUAAAAAGAUGUGCCCUGCCAAAUAGCAGGGCAGCCAGCAGCAGGGACGAGUACCUGAUACAAAUUUUUGCAGUUCAGCAUUUGUAGGUAGCUGAUAGAUGAAUGUUCACACCACAAACUUAAGAUGCCAUGUUAUGUAUUUCUAGGAUAUUGAUCCCU